UGGGGAAUAUUGCACAAUGGGCGCAAGCCUGAUGCAGCCAUGCCGCGUGUGUGAAGAAGGCCUUCGGGUUGUAAAGCACUUUCAGCGGGGAGGAAGGCGAUAAGGUUAAUAACCUUGUCGAUUGACGUUACCCGCAGAAGAAGCACCGGCUAACUCCGUGCCAGCAGCCGCGGUAAUACGGAGGGUGCAAGCGUUAAUCGGAAUUACUGGGCGUAAAGCGCACGCAGGCGGUUUGUUAAGUCAGAUGUGAAAUCCCCGGGCUCAACCUGGGAACUGCAUCUGAUACUGGCAAGCUUGAGUCUCGCAGAGGGGGGUAGAAUUCCAGGUGUAGCGGUGAAAUGCGUAGAGAUCUGGAGGAAUACCGGUGGCGAAGGCGGCCCCCUGGACGAAGACUGACGCUCAGGUGCGAAAGCGUGGGGAGCAAACAGG
rnacentral:rRNA from 1 species